AUGAACGCUGGCGGCGUGCCUAAUACCUGCAAGUCGAGCGAACAGACGAGGAGCUUGCUCCUCUGACGUUAGCGGCGGACGGGUGAGUAACACGUGGAUAACCUACUUAUAAGACUGGGAUAACUUCGGGAAACCGGAGCUAAUACCGGAUAAUAUAUUGAACCGCAUGGUUCAAUAGUGAAAGACGGUUUUGCUGUCACUUAUAGAUGGAUCCGCGCCGCAUUAGCUAGUUGGUAAGGUAACGGCUUACCAAGGCGACGAUGCGUAGCCGACCUGAGAGGGUGAUCGGCCACACUGGAACUGAGACACGGUCCAGACUCCUACGGGAGGCAGCAGUAGGGAAUCUUCCGCAAUGGGCGAAAGCCUGACGGAGCAACGCCGCGUGAGUGAUGAAGGUCUUCGGAUCGUAAAACUCUGUUAUUAGGGAAGAACAAAUGUGUAAGUAACUAUGCACGUCUUGACGGUACCUAAUCAGAAAGCCACGGCUAACUACGUG
rnacentral:rRNA from 1 species